rnacentral:rRNA from 1 species
GAUGAACGCUAGCGGCAGGCCUAAUACAUGCAAGUCGAACGGAUAUAUGUUUUUCGGAAUAUAUAUUAGUGGCGCACGGGUGAGUAACACGUACAUAACUUGCCCUCAAGCGGGGGAUAGCCUUGGGAAACUGAGAGUAAUACCCCAUAAGAAUUAUUGGACGGCAUCGUUUGAUAAUUAAAACUACGGUGCUUGGGGAUAGAUGUGCGUCUGAUUAGCUAGUUGGUGAGGUAACUGCUCACCAAGGCGACGAUCAGUAGGGGGCGUGAGAGCGUGGCCCCCCACACGGGUACUGAGACACGGACCAGACUCCUACGGGAGGCAGCAGUGAGGAAUAUUGGUCAAUGGUCGGAAGACUGAACCAGCCAUGCCGCGUGCAGGAAGACGGUCCUAUGGAUUGUAAACUGCUUUUGUACGGGAAGAAACACUCCUUCGUGAAGGAGCUUGACGGUACCGUAAGAAUAAGGAUCGGCUAACUCCGUGCCAGCAGCCG